AUGGUUGUCGUCAGCUCGUGUYGUAAAAUGUUGGGUUAAGUCCCGCAACGAGSSCAACCCUUAUCYUUAGUAGCCAGCGGUUARGCUGGGCACUCUAGAGAGACUGCCAGGGAUAACCUGGAGGAAGGUGGGGAUGACGUCAAAUCAUCAUGCCCCUUAUGAUCAGGGCUACACACGUGCUACAAUGGCGUAAACAAAGGGAAGCGAAACUGUGAGGUUGAGCAAAUCCCAAAAAUAACGUCUCAGUUCGGAUUGUAGUCUGCAACUCGACUACAUGAAGCUGGAAUCGCUAGUAAUCGCGAAUCAGAAUGUCGCGGA
rnacentral:rRNA from 1 species